GGCACAGGCACUGCAGCCAGCCCUCUGCCUGGCGUGCCCCUGGUCGUGCCCAGCAUGGGUUACAUUGAACCUGGCAAGCAGCAAGUGCUGAAAGUCUAUUACCUGCCAGGAGUGCCUGGAGUCUUCUGCAGGGCUUUCCAGAUCCAAGUGGGUCACCUGGAGCCAGCAAAAAUCUGCCUGAAAGGAGAAGGGACCUUUCCCAGGAUCCACUUGGACCUGCCCAGGAACAUCAAAGGCAACGCCAAAUAUGAGAAGAUCCUCCAAAAGGCC